GAGUUUGAUCAUGGCUCAGGACGAACGCUGGCGGCGUGCUUAACACAUGCAAGUCGAACGGAAAGGCCCUUUCGGGGGUGCUCGAGUGGCGAACGGGUGAGUAACACGUGGGUGAUCUGCCCUGCACUUUGGGAUAAGCCUGGGAAACUGGGUCUAAUACCGGAUAGGACUACGCGAUGCAUGUCGUGUGGUGGAAAGCUUUUGCGGUGUGGGAUGGGCCCGCGGCCUAUCAGCUUGUUGGUGGGGUGAUGGCCUACCAAGGCGACGACGGGUAGCCGGCCUGAGAGGGUGUCCGGCCACACUGGGACUGAGAUACGGCCCAGACUCCUACGGGAGGCAGCAGUGGGGAAUAUUGCACAAUGGGCGCAAGCCUGAUGCAGCGACGCCGCGUGAGGGAUGACGGCCU
rnacentral:rRNA from 1 species